AUAAAACAAUAGCCAUAGUGCGCAGUGACAUCGGUAAACACACACACGUGGUGUUUUUCGGUUUCCUCGAGUGCGUAAUACGCCGCACGGGAAAACGGCAAGACGCAAAGGGUCCACCCCGUUAGGUACGACCGUUAACGUAAUAUUAUGAUAAACGUAAAUACGCUUAAUUCGUACACGUUUUUUUGUUGUUGUUGUUGUUGUUUUUUUGAAUUACACGCCCAUUGCGAAAAGGACAAUGUUCGUUUAAUAGCGCACGCGAACACGUGUACCAUAUACGUUGUAUUAUAUAUUAUUAUAAUACGCGUCUGGUGAUAUAUCGCACGCGCGACCUCCAAGACUAUCGGCUAAAUGAUUUGAAUUCGUCGACUAUAAUUAUAGAAAUAUUGUGCGAUUAAAUAGUACAAAGCAGGUAGAAAGGUUUUGUGUGUUUAAUUUACUGGUGAUUUUUAGAUUUCGAGCGAAACGAGAACAGCUGUGGUGUGCGAUUUUACAGCGAUGGGCGAUUUUUUUUUUUGUUUUAUAAUGAGCAAACACGUAGAAAAAGUGCUCAACAAAUAUAUUAGUAAACAUAACUGAAAAUCAUGAAAAUAUGACACUAUUGACUUUGAAGAUGUCGCUUAUAUAGAUUUCACAACAGCGUUUUUCGUGCAAAUGACUAAUGAUUGACUGCAUUUUUUUAAGCAAUUUCAACUGCCGAAUUAAGGUUAUUGCCGAGUAUCACAACUUUAUCCCGCGUCGUCAGAUAAGACGAUAUCACCUAUCAUCAGGUUCACACUGUUCUAUUUUGAGAUUUUAGCAAGCCCAAAAAGUGUCUUAUACCAUUUCCAUAGAGUGGAAAUUGAAACCAAACUGUAGUCGAAAAAAAUGUAAUAUUACUCAAUUAGCCGAUAUGGAAAGAAUGUGAAUUGGCUAACUACAAACAUCGUUUCCCGGUUGCGAUAACAUUCGAGUUAUUGUCUCGUUCAAUUUUAAAACGAUACUAAUACAACAUUAUAUCUCGUGCCAAGAUGAGUAAAACGAGAUAAACGCUCUAACAUAAUAUCAUAAAUUGCUGACCAAACACGUUUUUUUUUUUUUUAAAGUGGGUAAUUUUAUUUUCAACGCGGUUAUCAUUAUGCGUCUUAUAUUCAUGUAGUGAUUUAUAGAUUAUAUAAAUCACUAGCUGUAGGUUUGUCCCCUGACAGGAGUCAGUUGAUAUCAAGUUGUGGUAUUUUUUUUUUAAAAAAUAUUUUGUAACCCAUUCCCACCCUAUUACAGAUUUGCUGUCGUGUUACGCCGCUGGUGUGCACACGCUGCAGUACCAGUGUACCACGGCAUUUAUGAAUAUAAUAUAAUACACUCAAAAUGAAAAUUAGUAUGGUAUAAAGGCCAAGGUUAUAAUACGGCAAUGAAAAAUUCUAUCAUACAGCGUCUAAUGUGGGCUUCUCGACUGCUCUUCCGGUACUCUACUAUUAAACUUUACAACAAAUGGAAAAAAAAACUGAAAAAAAAAUCAAAUAUCAAAAUAGAUGCGAUAAAAAGCAAUUCGUGAAGUAUGUGGUAUAGCCCAGUUCUAAUAAAAAAUGAUGAAUUUACAAUGAACCGUCUACUACGAAUAGAACAUACAUUCCUAAAAAACAACUACCUUAUGGUAAUAAACGAACUAUACCUAUACGUGAACCAUUUGGAGUAAAUAACAUGGUGAAACACACCACCGAAUGCCGAAAAUAUACGAGGAUACAGAAAAGAAACAUUCCACAACAGGUCAGACAAGUCACCACCAGUACUGCUGUCUGGACUGGAUUUCCAUUCAAAUAUAAAUAAAAUUAAUUUUCUCAAAAUAAAAGUGUACAAUUCGAUUUAAUUCAACCAAAAUCUGUGCAACGUAUAUAAGUUUAAAUAAAUUGGUAUGUACGAAUUAUAUAAAAAAAACCCAAUCUUAUAGGAAUUGCAUUAUGUUUAUGUACCUAGCAAUAGCCCGAGGGACCGAUGUUUUUCUGAUCAAUAAUAAUAAAAAAAUUAAUUAUGAAUAAUACAAAAAAUCAUGUAUGUA